rnacentral:rRNA from 1 species
UACGUAGGCAGCAAGCGUUAUUCGGAAUCACUGGGCUUACAGGGUGCGUAGGCGGCUUGUCAAGUAGGGUGUGAAAGCCCCCGGCUCAACCGGGGAAUUGCGCCCUAAACUGGCGAGCUAGAGUGAGAUAGGGGUGUGUGGAACUUCCGGUGGAGCGGUGAAAUGUGUUGAUAUCGGAAGGAACGCCGGUGGCGAAAGCGACACACUGGAUCUUGUCUGACGCUGAGGCACGAAAGCCAGGGGAGCGAACGGG